AAGUCGUAACAAGGUUUCCGUAGGUGAACCUGCGGAAGGAUCAUUACAAAUUUGGUCUUUACCCGACCAUCUCAACCAACUGUUGUGCAACGUACCCGCGACUGGUGCUAGCCGACGUACGUGAAGAGAUUUACUUCUUAAGGUACUUCUUGACCCGUGGCCAAGGUGAUCACCGUCAUUUGUUUACCAAACCUUCUACUAAAUUAACCUAAACCGAUCUCGAGCUCAGUAUUGGGCGUAGACAGAUUACACACACACACAAAUACAACUUUUAGCAACGGAUCUCUAGGCUCUC
rnacentral:misc_RNA from 1 species